rnacentral:rRNA from 1 species
GACGAACGCUGGCGGCGUGCUUAACACAUGCAAGUCGAACGGAAAGGCCCUGCUUUUGUGGGGUGCUCGAGUGGCGAACGGGUGAGUAACACGUGAGUAACCUGCCCUUGACUUUGGGAUAACUUCAGGAAACCGGGGCUAAUACCGGAUAGGAGCUCCUGCUGCAUGGUGGGGGUUGGAAAGUUUCGGCGGUUGGGGAUGGACUCGCGGCUUAUCAGCUUGUUGGUGGGGUAGUGGCUUACCAAGGCUUUGACGGGUAGCCGGCCUGAGAGGGUGACCGGCCACAUUGGGACUGAGAUACGGCCCAGACGCCUACGGGAGGCAGCAGGGGGGAAUAUUGCACAAUGGGCGGAAGCCUGAUGCAGCAACGCCGCGUGCGGGAUGACGGCCUUCGGGUUGUAAACCGCUUUCGCCUGUGACGAAGCGUGAGUGACGGUAAUGGGUAAAGAAGCACCGGCUAACUACGUG